GACAGCGCGUUCUGAUCAAGAACUGCACUUUGGUUGAUUCUUUGUGGAUCAGUGGAUGAUGGAUUGUGAAUGGUUUUCUUGGAUCAAGAAUUGAUCAGAAAAUGCUGGAAGGGUGAGUAUGUUUGAUUCUUGAAGCUGAUCAUGAACAGCCUCUCAAACCUUGUGACACACCAAAAAGAUUAAAGAAAAUAUUUAUGAUCAAGGAGAAAUUAUGCAGAAUUUGAUUUGUUCUUGGUACACAACCAAGUGCCAAGUGUACCAAUAACCAACUCAAAUGGAAGGAAAAGGGGGGAAACAAGAAAAAUCAAAGAACAGAGCAAGCCUUCCAAAAUCAAAGAACUCAUAAAACUAAACAGAAGUCAAGAGAAACUCCUUCUUUGUGGCCAAAUAGCAGGGAAAAAAACCAGCAAUCUGCAAAACCAAAAGGACCUCACAAAUGAGACCACAAAAUGGAGCUAAUCUCUUCUCUGAGGAAGCUUGUGGGAGGCAGCAGAAGAGGGUGUCUACAACAGUGAUCACAGCCUCACAGUAACAAGAGCAUGACAGGGACAAGAGGAGGAGCCAUUAA
rnacentral:lncRNA from 1 species